UAACUCGUUUCUCUAGAGCCUUUAAGAGG
rnacentral:piRNA from 1 species